UGGAGUUACGAUGAGGAUACCAAGCUCCCUCUUCUGACUUACAAGUUGAAGACGGAACGCUGGCAGAAUCGAACCUAAUGCUUUUAUCGCCACCACUGAGUAG
rfam:Eucalyptus grandis cultivar BRASTZ1 unplaced genomic scaffold scaffold_1, whole genome shotgun sequence.